UACAGAGGUGGCAAGCGUUGUUCGGAAUUACUGGGCGUAAAGGGCGCGUAGGCGGCCCACUAAGUCAGACGUGAAAUCCCCCGGCUUAACCUGGGAACUGCGUCUGAUACUGGAGGGCUUGAGUAUGGGAGAGGGAUGUAGAAUUCCAGGUGUAGCGGUGAAAUGCGUAGAUAUCUGGAGGAAUACCGGUGGCGAAGGCGGCAUCCUGGACCAUUACUGACGCUGAGGCGCGAAAGCUAGGGGAGCAACGGG
rnacentral:rRNA from 1 species